CGGUAAUUCCAGCUCCAAUAGCGUAUACUAAAGUUGUCGCAGUUAAAAAGCUCGUAAUUGGAUUUCUGCGGGGACGGAGCGGCCGGUCGCAACUUGCGACUCGAGCUAGCGCUUUCCCCGCAUCCUGCCGCGAACCGUGCUACCAUUAGCUUGGUGGCGCUGGGGAUCGGCUCGAUUACUUUGAGAAAAAUAGAGUGUUCAAAGCAGGCCACACGCCUUGAAUAAGUUAGCAUGGAAUAAUGACUAAGGACUUCGGUUCUAUUUUGUUGGUGUUCGGGACUGAAGUAAUGAUUGAUAGGGACAGUUGGGGCGGUCUGUAUUCCAAAGCGAGAGGUGAAAUUCUUAGACCUUCGGAAGACAAACAGCUGCGAAAGCGUUCCGCAAGGAUGUUCCCUUUGAUCAAGAACGAAAGUUGGGGGAUCGAAGACGAUCAGAUACCGUCGUAGUCUCAACUAUAAACUAUACCAGCUAGGGAUCGGUCAACGUUUAAUCAUUCGACUUGAUCGGCACCUUAUGAGAAAUCAAAGCAUCUGGGUUCCAAAAAAAGUAUGGUCGCAAGGCUGAAACUUAAAGGAAUUGACGGAAGGGCACCACCAGCCGUGGAGCCUGUGGCUUGAUUUGACUCAACACGGGAAAACUUACCAGGUCCAGACAUAGUAAGGAUUGACAGAUUGAUAGCUCUUUCUUGAUUCUGUGGGUGGUGGUGCAUGGCCGUUCUUAGUUGGUGGAGUGAUUUGUCUGGUUAAUUCCGUUAACGAACGAGACCCCAGCCUGCUAAAUAGCGCGGCUGAGCUUUGCUCGGUGCGAGCUUCUUAGAGGGACUAUGAUGCGCGAUAGCACAUGGAAGUUUGGGGCAAUAACAGGUCUGUGAUGCCCUCAGAUGUUCUGGGCCGCACACGGGCUACACUGGCGCCUGCAACGAGCAUAUCAGCUGGCCCGAGAGGGUCUUGGCUAAUCUUUUGAACCGGCGCCGUGCUUGGGAUUGACCAUUGCAAUUGUUGGUCAUGCAACGAGGAAUGCCUUGUAAACGCGAGUCAUCAGCUCGCAUUGAAUACGUCCCUGCCCCUUAUACACACCGCCC
rnacentral:rRNA from 1 species